rnacentral:rRNA from 1 species
CCUACGGGAGGCUGCAGUGGGGAAUAUUGCACAAUGGGCGCAAGCCUGAUGCAGCCAUGCCGCGUGUGUGAAGAAGGCCUUCGGGUUGUAAAGCACUUUCAGCGGGGAGGAAGGCGGUGAGGUUAAUAACCUCAUCGAUUGACGUUACCCGCAGAAGAAGCACCGGCUAACUCCGUGCCAGCAGCCGCGGUAAUACGGAGGGUGCAAGCGUUAAUCGGAAUUACUGGGCGUAAAGCGCACGCAGGCGGUCUGUCAAGUCGGAUGUGAAAUCCCCGGGCUCAACCUGGGAACUGCAUUCGAAACUGGCAGGCUAGAGUCUUGUAGAGGGGGGUAGAAUUCCAGGUGUAGCGGUGAAAUGCGUAGAGAUCUGGAGGAAUACCGGUGGCGAAGGCGGCCCCCUGGACAAAGACUGACGCUCAGGUGCGAAAGCGCGGGGAGCAAACAGGAUUAGAUACCCGUGUAGUC